GACGAACGCUGGCGGCGUGCUUAACACAUGCAAGUCGAGCGGAAAGGCCCUUCGGGGUACUCGAGCGGCGAACGGGUGAGUAACACGUGAGUAAUCUGCCCUUGGCUUUGGGAUAACUACCGGAAACGGUGGCUAAUACCGGAUACGACAACCGUCUGCAUGGGCUGGUUGUGGAAAGUUUUUUCGGCCAGGGAUGUGCUCGCGGCCUAUCAGCUUGUUGGUGGGGUAAUGGCCUACCAAGGCUUCGACGGGUAGCCGGCCUGGGAGGGUGGCCGGCCACACUGGGGCGUGGGCACGGGCCAGACUCCUACGGGGGGCAACAGGUGGGAAUAUUGGGCAAUGGGCGGAAGCCUGGUCCAGCAACGCCGCGGGAAGGGUGACGGGCUUCGGGGUUGAAACCUCUUUCAGUACCGACGAAGCGCCGGUGGUGGGGGUGGCGGUAGGUACAGGAGAAGGACCGGGCAACUACGUU
rnacentral:rRNA from 1 species